UUGUGGUAACAAAUCUUGUUUAUUUCAAUGUCAGAGAAUUUAAAAUUUUACAAUUAAUCUGUAUCCACAAUGAUUUUGAACAAAUUUUUGGUCAGUUUCAGAAUGGUUUAGAGACCCAAUUUGGUUCUUCUCCAAUGACGUCUUUUGGCGUUGUAUCUACAAAAAUAAGACAAUAAUUCCGUUAGAAAGCUCUACAGUAGAUCGCUUAUAUGCAACUUCCCGUUUUCUCGAACUAAAAUCUUUUUUCCGUGGAUUUGCCAAUACUAUUUCAAUCAUUUUUACUCGCUUAUUUCAAACUCUCCGCUAUUUCCAAGUAUUUGUUGCUUUCCUUGACCGGAUUUGCCCAGUUACAGUAUACAAAUAAUGAAUGUUUAUGAGUGCAAUGGUAAGAAUAUUUUCAUGAGGUGAAAGAUGGAAUGUUCCAUUCAACGAGGCGACAGCCGAGUUGAAUGGAACAUUCCAUCUUUCACCGAAUGAAAAUAUUCUUACCAUUGCACGAAGAAACAUUCAUUAUUUGUUUUAUAUAAUACCAAAGGUCCAGAACAGACUAAUAGAUUCGUAUGAGAAGCAUUUUGAGGGAUGCGAUUUAUCGAAAACACAAAGAGUGCAAUUGUACUAUACGUUUUAUUACAUUGCACUCGCGCAGAGUGCAAUGGAAC